rnacentral:lncRNA from 1 species
UCUCAUGGAUAAAAUGACCAAGAUCCCAUUUACUAGAUAUAAAAAAAGGCGUGAGUAAAUUAUUAGGUCUUGAAUAUAUAGAUGUUCGAAGAUUAAUAAUAUCUCGACCUAGAGAUGGGCACUUCAUAUGAGAUGUGGUGUGUUCCUUAAAUUUACUUCACAAACCUAAUUAUCUCAUUCUGAGGAGAUGUCCUUGAAGUUGCUGUAUAUAUUUUAAAUUAGAUAUCAUAAAAAUUUGUUACUAGCACCCAUAUGAGAUAUGAGAAGACAAA